rnacentral:rRNA from 1 species
UACGGGGGGGGCAAGCGUUGUUCGGAAUUACUGGGCGUAAAGGGCUCGUAGGUUGCCAACUAAGUCAGACGUGAAAUCCCUCGGCUUAACCGGGGAACUGCGUCUGAUACUGGAUGGCUUGAGUUCGGGAGAGGGAUGCGGAAUUCCAGGUGUAGCGGUGAAAUGCGUAGAUAUCUGGAGGAACACCGGUGGCGAAGGCGGCAUCCUGGACCGACACUGACACUGAGGUGCGAAAGCGUGGGGAGCAAACAGG